UACGGAGGGGGCAAGCGUUGUUCGGAAUUACUGGGCGUAAAGGGCGUGUAGGCGGUUGUGCAAGUCAGAAGUGAAAGCCCAGGGCUCAACCCUGGAACUGCUUUUGAGACUGUACGACUGGAGUACGGUAGAGGGUGGUGGAAUUCCCCGUGUAGAGGUGAAAUUCGUAGAUAUGGGGAGGAACACCGGAGGCGAAGGCGGCCACCUGGACCGUAACUGACGCUAAGGCGCGAAAGCGUGGGGAGCGAACAGG
rnacentral:rRNA from 1 species